rnacentral:sRNA from 1 species
CGCAUCGGUCCGGAGUUGAUGGGUUAUCCUUGAUAAACUUUGCCUUCGGGCAACACCCCGGUUUCCUUGUGAAACCAAAACCGUCCAUUCGGACAAAACUCUCAACCAUCUCGCGUUCUCAUUAAGAAUGCAAAACCCUUCCCAUCGACACCAACUUGACCGAUCU